rnacentral:rRNA from 1 species
AGUAAUGGCGAACGAACGGGGAUGAGCUCAUAGCCGAAUCCGGCGCCCCUUGGGCGUCUGAAAUGUGGCGUAUGGGAGGCGGAGUCCUCCGAGUGCGACCGGCGGUACAAGUCCCCAUGAGAGGGGCAUGUUACCCGGAGCGGGUGCUAGGCCCGUACCGCCGCCGGUCCGCGCGCGGAGUUGCCGUUCUCCCGGGAGUCGGGUUGCUUGGGAGUGCAGCCCUAAGUGGGUGGUAAACUCCACCUAAAGCUAAAUAAGACCGAGAGACCGAUAGCGAACAAGUACCGUGAGGGAAAGUUGAAAAGCACUUUGAAGAGAGAGUUCAAGAGUACGUGAAACCGUUCAGAGGUAAACGGGUGGGACCUCGAAGUCCGAAGGCGGUGGUGGAUUCAGCUAAGAUGUUGCCUUGCUCUAGAGCGCGUUACCCCGCGACGGGGACGCGUCCGAGGGCGACCUAGGCGGGAUCUUGGCGCACUUCCACGCCCCGUCCAGUAGGGCGUCGCGACCGGUUGGGAGGCUGUCGUAAGGGCGGACGAGAAAGGUGGCCGCCUUUCCUUCGGGAUUGGCGGUGUUACAUUCUGUCCAACUCCGACGGGUCGCCCGACCGGGGUCGAGUUCAUCUCUAAGGCGUUCCCUUCCAGACGGAAGCGGGUCUCGGGCCGAGCCUCGCGCGCGGAGCGUGCCACCUUCCAAGGUGAGCGAUUCGCGCGUGGGGUUUCGGACUCGCGGGCCCGCGGGGAGCCAGAGGUCGCGGCGAGUAGGUCGGUUACCCACCCGACCCGUCUUGAAACACGGACCAAGGAGUCUAAAGCGUGUGCGAGUUCCCGGGACUUGAUUAGGCCCGAGGGCGCAAUGAAAGUGAAGGGCGGCUUCCGCCGUCCGAGUUGGGAUCCGUCCCGCUUCGCGCGGGGCGGCGCACCAACGGCCCGUCCACUGCCGGUCUCGGUAGGGCGGAGCUAGAGCAUACGCUCUGGGACCCGAAAGAUGGUGAACUAUGCUUGGGCAGGACGAGGCCAGAGGAAACUCUGGUGGAGGUCCGUAGCGAUUCUGACGUGCAAAUCGAUCGUCGGACCUGAGUAUA